rnacentral:rRNA from 1 species
CUGCCGGCGACCGGCGCACGGGUGAGUAACACGUAUGCAACCUGCCCUCCGCAGGGGGAUAACCCGGAGAAAUCCGGACUAAUACCGCGUGGUACACCAGUGGGGCAUCCCACGGGUGUUAAAAGGAAGCGAUUCCGGCGGAGGAUGGGCAUGCGGCGCAUUAGCUUGUUGGCGGGUAACGGCCCACCAAGGCGACGAUGCGUAGGGGUUCUGAGAGGAAGGUCCCCCACACUGGUACUGAGACACGGACCAGACUCCUACGGGAGGCAGCAG